CCUGAGUGAGGCAGUCCUGUGUGAACACGAGGUGCAGUGGCUGUUUUGUGGUGACCAGUGCCGAGACAUGUUGGUGUGCAGUUCCUGGACUGUAUUUAUGAUUGUAUUUAUGAUUUUACUGCAGCUCUGGACAAAUCACAUCUGGGAGGUUUUGGAGAGCAUAGGUCUGGUGUUUAUUUCCCACUGAGAUGCAGUAACAUGAGUAGUUAACAGCCAGUUGUAUUUUUCUGAAUCCCUCCCAUAGAAGGAUUUCAUUUCAGUUCAGUUUCCACGUUCUUCAUCUUAUCCAAAUAAAAGGUGAAGGCUUUGGGGUUAUCUUCUCUGGAACUGCAGCUCUGCAAAAAUACACUUGCAAAGGUCCCUCCAGAGGCAGUGGCAACUCGUUCUUCAGCUGGAGCUGCUGGUCACCAGGAAGGAACUAAAGAGCAAUCCUGGAAAAUAUCUACUGGAAUGGAAAAAUUCUGAUCUUUGGGAAAAUAAAGGAGCUGCUCUGUGAGAGGAAAAAUGUAUUUGGAGGACAGGCUGGCAGUACUUCUCUCCAGAUGUACCAUUUGGCACAUUAAGCAAUUCUUUUCUUAGAAGGGGAACCUAUGGUUUUGUCAUGUAAUGCAAAACACCAAUGGAAUCACUACAUAAGCAAAAUGCCAGUAAUGGUACAGUGGUCCAGCCACAAACAUUGCAAACAACCCAGGGCAAAACAUGGUUGUGAAGGUUUGCAGCUACACUUGGAGCCAGAGAAAGCCACUGCAGUAGUGCUGUGAGCUCAGCCAUGUGGAUCCAGUAUUGAGGGGAAAAGGGAUGCACAUUCAAGAAUGCCUACAGAUGCAGUUCUGUCUACACCUCAUCCCAGCUACAUGGAUUAGAGCUAUAAAGAUGUUGGUCUAAGUCACAAGAGUUUUGGAGACUGGAAAUACUUGAUUUCAGUAGUUGAAUUUAAAGUUAUCUGAAGAUUGUUGCAGGUCCUGAAUGCUGAAUAGUUCCUGAAACACAUCUACUUCCAAGCUGCAAAUGGCUGCACAGCAAGGCAUUGGCAAUAGCAUUUCAACCCAAAAGUGCAUCUUUGGAACACCUGAGCUGAGAAGCCUGUGCUUGGCAUCUGCCUAUAAACAAGACUGCUUCUAUUUCUUUCACAAGUCUAUGUGUUUGCAGAAGGACUUUUGUUUUUCUGUGUGUGUGUGACUGAAGAAGAAAAGGGAAACUGGAGUAAAAGUGUUCGCUGGGACUGGCUGGAGUGCACACAGGUGAUGGUUCUGUACUGGGGACUGCAUGGCCAGGAGUUUUGAGGUUGGCUGUGGAGCUGGACACAUACGUGAGAGAUGUCAUCUCUAAAACCUUAGAUUGGCUUUUGCAUGUGGAAUUGUUUGUUGUUGUUGUUGUUUAGAAGUUGUUCAUUGUAGAAUUGUACUGGGGUUUUUUUGUGUGUUCCAAUUGAAUGUUUGAUUGUUAUAAGCAUUAUCCCUAUUUUUGUGGUCCCUUACUCAUUUGUUUGUUGCUAUUGAUGCAUUGUUUGUAAGUGUAAUAAUUCCUUUUAAGUUUGUUACUUUCGAGGUCUUCAAAGCAAAUCCCCUCACAAGCAGCAUCUUACAAAGAAUUUUUAACCUGCCCCAGAAGUCUUGUAACUUGACACCACAGCAACGGUGAAUACUAAUGAGGAACUUUCCCUCCAAAACCUCAGUUACCCCAAAGACAGCAAACCCUUGGAGAAGAUGUUACCAGCACCAAUCAACAACAGCUAUAGGGGUGGGACUGCCAGCAAUAAACUGAGGGGACAGAGAUUAUAAAAGGACCUGUGAAGUUUGAAGAACUGCCCCUUAACUGUGGAUUAGCUGCAGCUGAGGACCCGACACUGCAGACUCCGGUCUACAUCUCUUUUAGAGAUUUUUAAUAUAAAUUUGAGUGCAGAUUAGCUGCAUUCACUGC